AUUGAACGCUGGCGGCAUGCCUUACACAUGCAAGUCGAACGGCAGCGGGCCCUUCGGGGUGCCGGCGAGUGGCGAACGGGUGAGUAAUGCAUCGGAACGUACCCGGGAGAGGGGGAUAACCGGCCGAAAGGCUGGCUAAUACCGCAUGAACUCGGAAGAGCAAAGCGGGGGACCUUCGGGCCUCGCGCUCUCGGAGCGGCCGAUGUCCGAUUAGGCUAGUUGGUGGGGUAAAGGCCCACCAAGGCGACGAUCGGUAGCGGGUCUGAGAGGACGAUCCGCCACACUGGGACUGAGACACGGCCCAGACUCCUACGGGAGGCAGCAGUGGGGAAUCUUGGACAAAGGGCGCAAGCCUGAUCCAGCAAUGCCGCGUGGGUGAAGAAGGCCUUCGGGUUGUAAAGCCCUUUCGGCGGGGAAGAAAUCGGUCAGGCGAAUAGUCUGGCCGGAUGACGGUACCCGCAGAAGAAGCACCGGCUAACUACGUG
rnacentral:rRNA from 1 species